UUGAGAAUAAAACAUAAAAUGCAUUAUGCAUAUAUAAAAGAUACAAGCAUAAUUUUACAAUAAAUAAUAAAAGUUACAUUUAUAAUUACAUUUGGAAAGUAAUUUGCAGCAGAUGGUACUUUGUGUUUGUUCUUUCAAUUUCUUAGAAUUUUGUUGUUCAAUGGAACAGGAUUGGGAUCAAUGUCAUGUCAACUCUGCUAAUAUUAACGUUUUUUUUUUCUGCUGCUUAGGUUGUUUUGAUGUCCUUCCUCACAGCAAGCUCCAGGAGCCAUCUGUCAGCUCUGAGGAGGCCGAUUCAGGCCGCGUGAGUCCGGUUUUGACAGAGGCCAUUUUAACUGGCAUUUAGUCGAGUUGACAGGAGCAGGAAAAUUCACUAUGCUAUGGAACAUAAUGGUACAUGGGAUUUUUAAUAUGUAAGAUGUAAAUUGAAUCUUGUAAUGAUUUACGACCCAUUCGGGGAGAAUGUCGUUAUGGUUCGGCUGGUUGUGGGUUGCAGGCUGGCCAGGGACAUCUCACUCAGUGGACAUCAGUCAGGGUUUGGAGGACUGGACCACUGACCUUUCGAACAUUUCAGACUCUGAUGAAGAAGAUGAUGUAUUGCUUGUUCCUGGAAAGUAUAGAGCAAUGGAGGACCACUUAAAGUGUGGCAAGGAUGAUGUAAUCAUCAAAUGUGGUGAUGUCAUUCAUGUGCUAAAGGAGAGUGCUAUGGGGCUUUGGUGAGUCACAUUUCAUUAUUCAUUUGUUCUUAAGUGGAGCAAAACAUACAUAAACAUAGAGGGCAGAGCAUUCUGAUAUUUAAAGGGGCAGUUCACUCAUCCAUGAGUAACAGAGGAAUAAGUAGUUGGAUUCUGAUGACCGUAUUUUCCGGAAUUUAAGUCGCACUUUUUUUCAUAGUUUAGCUGGUCCUGCGACUUAUAGUCAGGUGCGACUUAUUUAUCAAAAUUAAUUUGACAUGAACCAAGAGAAAUGAACUAAGACAAAUGAACCAAGAGAAAAUAUUACUGUCUCCUGCCGCGAGAGGGCGCUCUAUGCUGCUCAGUGCUCCUGUAGUCUACACUGAAAACAUAGAGCGCCCUCUCACGGCUGUAGACGGUAAUGUUUUCUCUUGGUUCUUGGUUCUAAAUAAAUGCGACUUAUAGUCCAGUGCGACUUAUAUAUGUUUUUUCCCUCAUCAUAACGUACGUUUAUGUGUAGUUUGGGGUAACAAAGGGUUUUAUGGGUUUGACUGAAAUAAUAAUGAAAAAAUACACUUUAAAUCAAUGUUUCAGACAACAACAACAAAACAAUCUUGCCUAGUUAUCAAAAUUGCUAUAAAUGGCACUAUGUAACGCUAUAAUUCCCACAGGCAUGUUAACAAUUUGACUCGUGGAGGUGAAGGAAAACUCCCUGUUGAUACACUGCUGAGAAUUCUGGGAGAUGCAGAUGCAGGUUUUAUAAGCCUACUAAUUAAAUUAAUGUUUAUUAAAGCAAACUGAUUGUAUUUAUUUAAACAAAUCUGUACUGCUGAAGCUUUUCUUUCUCUAAAGCAUUUUGGUGUUGUCUCAUAGAUACAGGAAAUAUAAACAACAGGAAGCCCAGCAACACAUAAGUACAUAAACCACAUGUUCACAAAGCUCACACAAAGUGACAACCCUAAAGGCCAUUAUUGUCAUUAAGGACUGUGCCCAGUCACGCCAACCUGAAGCACACAAGCAAACAACAAGUCAGGAAAACAGAGCCGCCUAGUCAAGAGAAAGUUUCCAUCUGCCGUCAGUGGGGAUUCUGGAUUAUGCUGCAUUUAAAGACAAAAGGAGAUUCCUCUCUCUCCUCGAAUAAGCCAAUGACACUCCUACAAUACACUGGGUUCAUCAACCAUUACUCCUUCGAGGACAGCCAGAAACCUAGGAGUUGAGAUGGAUCAUCAGUUAAGCUUCACAGACCACAUUGCUACAACGCCCCGGUCCUGCAGAUUUGCGUUAUACAACAUUAGGAAGAUUAGACCCUUCCUGUCAGAACAAGCUACCCAACUUCUUGCCCAAGCUCUUGUUCUCUCCAGACUGGAUUAUUGUAAUGCUCUCCUGGCGGGCCUUCCUGCAUGUACUGUCAAGCCUCUCCAAUUGAUCCAGAAUGCAGCAGCGAGGGUCAAUGAGCCAACAAAAGAUCACUUUACUCCUCUCCUCAUCAGAUUACACUCUCUACCAGCAGCCGCUCGCAUCAAAUUCAAGGUACUGAUGCUUGCCUACAAGACGACCACUGGUAUGUCACCAACAUGCCUAAACUCACUGGUUAAAUCUUAUGUGCCCUCCAGAAGUUUGCGCUCUGAAAGUGAACAACGCCUUUUGGUGCCAUCCCAAAGAAGUUCAAAAUCACUCUCACGGUCCUUCUCCUGGACUGUGGCCAGCUGGUGGAAUGACCUCCCAAUCCCAAUCCAAACAGCUGAGUCUUCACUCAUUUUCAAGAAACAUCUAAAGACUAAUUUUAGUCGCCAGCACUUAACUAACUAAUACUAGCACUUUUCCUUGUUUUCUUGUCCUUUCAUUAAAUAAACAACAACAACAAAAAAAA